rnacentral:rRNA from 1 species
GGGUUUGAUUAUGGCUCAGAUUGAACGCUGGCGGGAUGCUUUACAUGCAAGUCGAACGGCAGCACGGACUUCGGUCUGGUGGCGAGUGGCGAACGGGUGAGUAAUGUAUCGGAACGUGCCUAGUAGCGGGGGAUAACUACGCGAAAGCGUAGCUAAUACCGCAUACGCCCUUCGGGGAAAGCGGGGACCUUCGGGCCUCGCACUAUUAGAGCGGCCGAUAUCGGAUUGGCUAGUUGGUGGGGUAACGGCUCGCAAGGCGACGAUCCGUAGCGCUGGUUUGAGAGGACGACCAGCCACACUGGGAUUGAGACACGGCCCAGACUCCUACGGGAGGCAGCAGUGGGAAUUUUGGACAAUGGGGAAGCCCUGAUCCAACCAUCCCGCGUGUGCGAUGAAGGCCUUCGGGUUGUAAAGCACUUUUGGCAGGAAAGAAACGGCACGGGAUAAUACCCCGUGCAACUGACGGUACCUGCAGAAUAAGCACCGGCUAACUUCGUGCCAGCAGCCGCGGUAAUACGUAGGGUGCAAAAGCGUUAAUCGGAAUUACUGGGCGUAAAGCGUGCGCAGGCGGUUCGGAAAGAAAGAUGUGAAAUCCCAGAGCUUAACUUUGGAACUGCAUUUUUAACUACCGAGCUAGAGUGUGUCAGAGGAGGUGGAAUUCCGCGUGUAGCAGUGAAAUGCGUAGAUAUGCGGAGGAACACCGAUGGCGAAGGCAGCCUCUGGGAUAACACUGACGCUCAUGCACGAAAGCGUGGGGGAGCAAACAGGAUUAGAUACCCUGGUAGUCCACGCCCUAAACGAUGUCAACUAGCUGUUGGGGCCUUCGGGCCUUGGUAGCGCAGCUAACGCGUGAAGUUGACCGCCUGGGGAGUACGGUCGCAAGAUUAAAACUCAAAGGAAUUGACGGGGACCCGCACAAGCGGUGGAUGAUGUGGAUUAAUUCGAUGCAACGCGAAAAACCUUACCUACCCUUGACAUGUCUGGAAUCCCGAAGAGAUUUGGGAGUGCUCGCAAGGGAACCGGAACACAGGUGCUGCAUGGCUGUCGUCAGCUCGUGUCGUGAGAUGUUGAGUUUGAAAUCCGCAACGAGCGCAACCCUUGUCAUUAGUUGCUACGAAAGGGCACUCUAAUGAGCUGCCGGUGACAAACCGGAGGAAGGUGGGGAUGACGUCAAGUCCUCAUGGCCCUUAGCAGGUAGGGCUUCACACGUCAUACAAUGGUCGGGACAGAGGGUCGCCAACCCACUGAGGAGCCAAUCCCAGAAACCCGAUCGUAGUCCGGAUCGCAGUCUGCAACUCGACUGCGUGAAGUCGGAAUCGCUAAUAAUCGCGGAUCAGCAUGUCGCGGUGAAUACGUUCCCGGGUGCAUACACACCGCCCGUCACACCAUGGGAGUGGGUUUUACCAGAAGUAGUUAGCCUAACCGUAAAGGAGGGCGAUUACCACGGUAGAGGAUUCAUGACUGGGGUGAAGUCGUAACAAGGUAG